ACACGUCGAGACGCGGGGGCAGAGGCGCUGCGUGGAGCGGAAGUGCCCGACUUUCCGCCCGCUGCGCGCGCGGGGCACACCGGGACUUGUAGUUCUUUGCGCGCCUAGCGGACCAGUUAAACUGAGAGAGUUGGUGUGUUGAGUUGGGGAACAGCAAAAGAGAAAAAAAAUACCACGGGCAAUAAUAGGAGAAAGAAGCAAUGAAGAAAGAAGGGGUUAAGCAGAUUGCAGCACUGUGUAUCAGCUCUCUGCCUUGUGAAGACAUGAUGAAAAGAUAGCCAUCUACAAGCCAAGAAGCAGCCUCUCACAGAUUCCAGAUCUGCUGGCAUCUUGAUCUGGGACAUCUCAGCUUCCAGAACUGAAAUUGUCCAACUUUUGUCUACUGGGAUCACUUUGAACACCUACCAUUCAUGAAACGUGUCUUGAAAGAUGGAGGAGAAUAAAGGCUGGACCCUGCCUUCAACGAAACUAUGAUAAGGUAGGGAACCUGACAUGCACUUACAUAGGUAGCUAUGAUACAAAGGCAAAUGUGGAAAAAAAAAAAAGAAGAAAGAGGGGUAGAACAAGCAAGAUUUAGGGAGAACUCAUAGGAGGUAGACUGGGCUUCUACUGGGUUGAUAAAGGAAGCCUUCAUGAAGUAGGUGGCUUUUGAGCUGUCCUAAUGGAUAAAUGGGAGGUUGCCAAUAUUUUUUUUUUUUCUUGCAUGGAAUUACUACAGGUCUUACAGAAAAAAA